GGAAAGAUAAAUAUCUGUUUGAGUGAUUAAAAGUAAGGUAAAAAAGAGCCUCUCCAGCAAUGGACACAAGGCACUAGAUAGAAAACCAGAAGUAGAAAUGGUAGAGGAUUAUUUCUUUGGAUCUGCUUUAUUUUUCUAUUCCUGAAAACACAUUUUGAUCUGGAUAGCAUGAUUGGUUGUUGAUGGACCUUUAUUAUGUGGUGCUGAGAAUCGAACCCAGUGCCUCAUGCAUGCCAGGCAAGCGUGCAACCACUGAGUCACAAUCCCAGCCAUGAAACCUAUUUAAAGGUACACAGACUCAGCUUGGGAAGCAGUGUGCAAGAAGUUUUAAGCAAAGGAGUGAAGCUGGACAAGGUGUGUUUAUGAUCCUCCUUUCUACACUAGCCUGAAGGAUGACCAUCUCAUGAGCCCAGGAGAUAGUGGCCAGGAGAAGCAAUAAUAACUCUUGAAUUCAUGGCUGGGGAGGUGUGCUGCAUCCUGAGAUCUAGGGCUUUUGUGGCAGCUGCAGGGAUAUCACUUAACCCUUAGGUAGCUGGAUGGAUGGAUACUUGCUCUUGGGAUAGAAGAUUGAAUAUGUCAUCACUUUGUUUCUGAAGAGAUCUGAGUCUAGUUUGGGGCUGGGGGUUGAACCCAUGAAGUGUAUUUCAAGUACGAUGGGGAAGGGAAUAAAGGUGCCUAAUAAAAGCCACUAAGGA
rnacentral:lncRNA from 1 species